rnacentral:lncRNA from 1 species
GUGACGUCAAGUUUAGCCUAAAGCUGCCUCCUUACAUAUUUUAGGGUCAGCCUGAAGACCUCUCCACACUUAGUGACUGUCACCUAACUGGGCGUGCCAACAGACCUAACCCACCCUUGCCCCAAGCAGCCGCAUCUCAGCGGAUCACAGCAGCCAGGCGUCACCAUGCACCGUGGCCCGGUUCAAACUGUGUUUAAAUGAGGCCCACGCCAAGCGGUGCCCGUCUGGCUGUUUCUGUGCCUCCGUCCAGUUUUCUUGGCAUCACUGUCCUUUCUCUGUCCACAAAUCUAACCGGACCACGCGACAGCGACGGAGCCGCCCUGAGCCUAUGCUGGGUCCAGGGCUGCCCCAUUCACCAACAGUCAUUUGCUCAAUGAAGCUCUGUGACAUUCAGUUUGUCUGAAGUUUGUCUUUUAACAUUGGUGAUAGAGUGAGAAGUCUGUGAGGAGAAGGGAUAUGAGAUGUUCCAAAAUAUUAUUACAUCACAAGCAAACGGAUUUCUGACUUCUGCACUCUCCAGUGUGCCCAGGACCUGCCCGCUCCGAGUGGACCCGACAGCACGGGGGUGGCCUGACGCCGGCUGAGAUGCAGAAUCAGGCCUCUGAGCUACUGAGCUGGAAUCUGCCUUUUGGCCGGACCCGGUUGAUUGGAACCGCGUUCAUUUGAGGAAUGCUCCCUGCGACCAGAGCUCCACCAGGACACUCCUUCCCUCCGCCGGCCACGUUUGCAGGGAGCCCCUGAGAGGCAGCGGCAGCCCGGAUGCUGAAUCCCAUUCGCCCCGGUCAUUUCCGGAGCGUCUUCCAGCCCGUUCCCCGCCAUGACAGCGACGUGUGCUUUGAGCUCAGUCCACAGCAAAGACCACCUUGGUUCUUGUCCCGCCGCAACCACAUCCGAAGAAAGGGGUCAGGUAUUCUAGGCGUACGGGGACUGAUAAAUUCCAAAAAUAUGUUGCCUAGAAAAGAUUGUUAAAAAUAUAAAGGCAAGUUUUAUUCAUUAAUGUUCCCUUGCGCUGUCUGUGAAGAAAGGUAGGUUAAAGAGGUACUUCGAAGCAAAUCUGUACCAGGAAAAUAGAAUUUGUUUUCACAUCUUUUGAAAGAUAAGUGAAAUUCCUUCAGAGUCCACACCCAUGCUUUUAUAAACCUCUGAUACACUAACAAAUCCAAAGAAAAAUUGAAAACAAGCGAGAAAAAGGAGACAGAAAAUGCACAAGAUACACCGCCCUUUUUGUUUGUUUGUGAUUCAGGGCUCAGGAUUGACUGGGUCCUCGGGAGGGGACUCGAGGGCAGAAGGAUCUAUUAAUCUUACAACUAUGUGUUUCAUUUUCCAAGUGGUCAGUUUUUUAGGUUACUUUAUGAAAAACUGAAAUGGAACACAGAAUAUGAACAAUUUCUCAGGGUAAGAGCAGCUAGAUGUAAAAAUAACAUAAUGCAAUUAAAGAAGAAAUCUUCCAGCAAAUAGAACCCCAUUUCGGGGAUUUUCACCGUGGGCGUGAGGGUCACACAAGACUGAAGCCCGCCCAGGAGCAGGCGAGGUCACUGCAGGUGGUCAGUUACAGAGCUCUGCGUCAUAGCCCUCUGGCCCCAGACAAAAUUCACUCAUCUAUACAUUUGCUUGAAAAUGCAUUAUUUGAUAUUCAUUUUGUAUACUUAAAUACAAAAUGAAAUGUAACCUGAUAUUGAAAAUAAAAACUCCAGGCAACGUCUACAUUUCUAUGUAUUUAGUCUUUUCAAGGUCUACAUUUUAAAAGCAAGAAAUGAACAAAGUUAGGAAUACAUUAUUACUCUGGCAGGAAAAUUAGACGGAUUGAUGAAGUGGGUUCUGUCUAUUGUUAUUUAUCCUACUAGAAAUUAAACUAAAAAAACUUAAAAUGUUUUUAUUCUUUAAUUAAAAGCACAAUAGUAAAUCCAUUACAUGCCAACAUAAAUAACGUGUAAUGAAAAAUAAAUGUAAUUUUUGAACCAAACCA